UACGUAGGUAACAAGCGUUGUCCGGAUUUACUGGGCGUAAAGAGCGCGCAGGCGGUCGUUCAAGUCGAGUGUGAAAGCCCCCGGCUCAACUGGGGAGGGUCACUCGAUACUGAUCGACUCGAAGGCAGGAGAGGGAAGUGGAAUUCCCGGUGUAGUGGUGAAAUGCGUAGAUAUCGGGAGGAACACCAGUGGCGAAGGCGACUUCCUGGCCUGUUCUUGACGCUGAGGCGCGAAAGCUAGGGGAGCAAACGGG
rnacentral:rRNA from 1 species